CCUACGGGUGGCAGCAGUGGGGAAUAUUGCACAAUGGGGGAAACCCUGAUGCAGCAACGCCGCGUGAGUGAUGACGGCCUUCGGGUUGUAAAGCUCUGUCUUCAGGGACGAGAAUGACGGUACAUGAGGAGGAAGCCACGGCUAACUACGUGCCAGGAGCCGCGGUAAUACGUAGGGGGCGAGCGUUGUCCGGAUUUACUGGGCGUAAAGGGAGCGGAGGCGGACUUUGAAGUGAGAUGUGAAAUACUCGGGCUCAACUUGAGGUCUGCAUUUCAAACUGGAAGUCUAGAGUGCAGGAGAGGCGAAUGGCAUUCCUAGUGUAGCGGUGAAAUGCGUAGAGAUUAGGAAGAACCCCAGUGGCGAAGGCGAUUCUCUGGACUGUACCUGACGCUGAUGCUCGAACGCGUGGGGAGCAAACAGGAUUAGAUACCCCUGUAGUC
rnacentral:rRNA from 1 species